CUCCUGAACACAGACGAUGACUGAAAGACUCGGGAUUACAUAUGAACCCCCCGACUCAGAUCCUGAUGUCGAUGCUCUGCUCCCAGCAUGCAUGGCCCACAGUCCCAGGUUCCUGCCAACUUCGUGCUGUCAGGAGGGGAUGAAUCUGCACACUGGCUACACAAUCUGGUGUGGCUGCCUCUGCAUGUGCUUUCGGGAUACUUGGGACUUCAGAAAAUAUGGCAAAAGCAUUUGGCACAUUUGGCAAAAGUAGCAGUUUAACCACAGAAUCAAAAAAGUUCUAAAUGGUGGUAUUUUAGUCUGUAAUGUCAGGACAGUUCGCCACAAAAGUUAUCACCAAACAGCAUAAACAACGCCCUCCAAAAAUGAAUUUGAUCCAUGUUGACACAAACCAUUGCCAAAGCUUUCACAGUACAGUGGCUAAGUUAAGGUGAAGUUCAACAAAUCACAAUCCGCCUUUAUAUGACCACUCGCUUCACACUAGGACGCUAA